UCAUGAGGUGGGAUCAUCCUUACCUGCCCCUCCGUUUGGAGGGCAGAUUGGAACAGGAUGACUGGAGUUUGUAUGAUUCGUGCUUAAUGACUCUGCAACUCUGCAUAAUCAGGACUUGCAACAUUCUGAUUGCUCCUUAAAAAA